AUACGGAGGGGGCGAGCGUUAUUCGGAAUCAUUGGGCGUAAAGGGCGCGUAGGCGGCCUGACAAGUCAGGGGUGAAAUCCCUCGGCUCAACCGAGGAACUGCCUCUGAAACUGUCAGGCUCGAGGCCGGGAGAGGGUAGUGGAAUUCCCAGUGUAGCGGUGAAAUGCGUAGAUAUUGGGAGGAACACCAGUGGCGAAGGCGGCUACCUGGACCGGUUCUGACGCUGAGGCGCGAAAGUGUGGGGAGCAAACAGGAUUAGAAACCCUAGUAGUCC
rnacentral:rRNA from 1 species